AUGGCAAAUGUGACUUAGCCUACUCUCCACAAAGAGGAUGUUCGUGAUUUGAUAUUCAUCUUGAAUGAGUGUGGCUGGUGAGAACUGUGAAUGCAGGUGUCUCCUGGGAUCACCAAACCCCUGUUUCAGAGCCUGCUCUUGGGGGAAACCACUGGAAGACAAUUCUUUACAGGAUUCAUGACUACAUCCCAUGCAGUGACAGAAACUCAGGGGAAGAGAUCCAAGAAAGUGAAACAUAAGCCACGCAGAGUACUUCCCCAUCCUUAACAGGUGUUAAAAACAUCAGCUUGCAAGUGAUUGAUAUGCACAGGAUGUCAUAAAAGUGCAAGCCUUGGAAAGCCUUUUCUGAUAUGCUGAAAAUAGAAGAAGUGGGAAACCAGACUUCAAAAUUCAUGUGCUUGUUUUUCUGACAUUUAAACUUUGGCCCUGGCCACUAUUGAUUAACAGUAGAAC